GGGGCGUGAGGGUGCCUCACCUUCUUCCCUUCCCUGGAGGGCUGAGGCUCAGCCACCAGCCCACCUGCCAGGAGACUGCUUGAGUCGCACUCCUACUGUCCCAGCCUGCGGGGACAUUCUGAGGAUGAACCUACCUGCCCUGCCAAGGAGGAGAGGGAAGAGCCAACUCCAAUCCAGGAGGCUGGGAUACAGUCAUGAUCAAUUAGGCUCUCCACUGCUACUUGUGACAGUAAGGGAUCCUGUAAACUUAUCUCGUCAGACCAGGAGAGGUCUAGCUGGGA